rnacentral:tRNA from 1 species
GGAGGAGUGGCCGAGUGGUCGAAGGCAACGGUCUUGAAAACCGUCGGACGCGAGUCCCGGGGGUUCGAAUCCCUCCUCCUCCGCCA